rnacentral:rRNA from 1 species
AUUGAACGCUGGCGGCAUGCUUUACACAUGCAAGUCGAACGGCAGCACGGGCUUCGGCCUGGUGGCGAGUGGCGAACGGGUGAGUAAUGCAUCGGAACGUACCGUGUAGUGGGGGAUAACGUAGCGAAAGUUACGCUAAUACCGCAUACGCCCCGAGGGGGAAAGUGGGGGACCGCAAGGCCUCACGCUAUAUGAGCGGCCGAUGUCGGAUUAGCUAGUUGGUAGGGUAAAGGCCUACCAAGGCGACGAUCCGUAGCGGGUCUGAGAGGAUGAUCCGCCACACUGGGACUGAGACACGGCCCAGACUCCUACGGGAGGCAGCAGUGGGGAAUUUUGGACAAUGGGCGCAAGCCUGAUCCAGCCAUGCCGCGUGAGUGAAGAAGGCCUUCGGGUUGUAAAGCUCUUUCAGACGGAAAGAAAUCUCUCAGGAUAAUACCUUGGGAGGAUGACGGUACCGUAAGAAGAAGCACCGGCUAACUACGUGCCAGCAGCCGCCGUAGUAA